rnacentral:lncRNA from 13 species
AAAAUGUUUUCUUUGGGCCACGCGUGGUGGCUCACACCUGUAAUCCCAGCACUUUGGGAGGCCGAGGCAGGUGGAUCACGAGGUCAAAAGAUCGAGACCAUCCUGGUCAACAAGGUGAAACCCCGUCUCUACUGAAAAUUAAAAAUUAGCUGGGCAUGGUGGUGCGCACCUGUAGUCCCAGCUACUCGGGAGGCUAAGGCAGGAGAAUUGCUUGAACCCAGGAGGCGGAGGUUGCAGUGAGCCGAGAUCGUGCCAUUGCAAUCCAGUCUGGGUAAAACAGCAAAACUCCGUCUCAAAAAAAAAAAAAAAAAGUUUUCUUUGUACCAGGAAAAUGAAGGCAGAGGAAAGGUAUGAUAGGACCAGUUGAUGUUGUGACUUUUUUUUUUUUUUUUUUUUUUCCAGAAAAGUGAUUUAUUACAUAGAGAGUUUCCAGAUAAGUUUGGGGAUUUAUUGAGAUGGAGUCUUCCUCUGUUGCCGAGACUGGAGUGCAGUGGCACAAUCUCGGCUCACUUCAACCUCUUCCUCCCAGGUUCAAGCAACUCUCCUGCCUCAGCCUCCCGAGCAGCUGGAACUAUAGGCACAUGCCACCAUGCUCAGCUAAUUUUUUGUAUUUUUAGUAACAAUGGGAUUUCACCAUGUUGGCCAGACUGGUCUCGAACUGCCGACCUCAUGAACCACCCGUCUCAGCCUCCCAAAGUGCUGGGAUUACAGCCUGCCAACUUUCAAACUAGGAUUUACACCAUCGUCCCUCCUGGUCCUCAGGCCUUCAGUCUCCAGCAGCAGCUAUACCAUCAGCUCUCCUGGGUCUCCAGCUUGCUGCCUGCAGAUCUUGGGGCUUCUUGGCCUCCAUCGUCACAUAAGCCAAUUUCUUCUAAUAAAUCUCUUUCUUUGGCAUCUAUAAAUCUCCUAUUGGUUCUUUUUCUCUGGAGAAGCCUAAUAGAGUGGGGCCAUGGAUCAUCCCAGAGAGAAAGUAGGGGUGAAGCAGGGAGCCUUAAUCCUAGCGGCUGGAUCCUAGGGCCCUCCCAGAGUCUUCUCUGAAGAAGUCCCAAGUUCUACGUAGAAUCUCAAAAACGGCAACAACCCGGAAAUGCCUACUAGAUCCAUAGAGGAAGGGGUGUGGCUGGGUGACUUUCCACACCUGUCUGAGCUCUUUCCCCAGCAAGAAGACCCGAAAUCUAUCACCCUGUGACCCCUACGCCAGCCCCAGGGAAGCCUAGCUUUGCAGCUGUGGCUGAAAUAGGCACCUACGCCCACUCCCCAUCACCCCUGCAGCCCCCACUCCCCAUCACCCCU